GUGCGGCUAUGAAGUAGGAGGUUGCGACACACCCGGUUGCAUUGCCACGCAACCUAUGUCGGUUUUCCUAUGGAGCUAAGCCUAUUUUCAAAAUAGACGAAGGAGGUA
rfam:Pilibacter termitis strain ATCC BAA-1030 genome assembly, contig: EI49DRAFT_scaffold00021.21